rnacentral:rRNA from 1 species
CGGUAAUUCCAGCUCCAAUAGCGUAUACUAAAGUUGUUGCAGUUAAAAAGCUCGUAGUUGGAUUUCUGCGGGGACGGAGCGGCCGGACGCAACUUGCGUCUCGAGCUAGCGCUUUCCCCGCAUCCUGCCGCGAACCGUGCUACCAUUAGUUUGGUGGCGCUGGGGAUCGGCUCGAUUACUUUGAGAAAAAUAGAGUGUUCAAAGCAGGCCACACGCCUUGAAUAAGUUAGCAUGGAAUAAUGACUAAGGACUUCGGUUCUAUUUUGUUGGUGUUCGGGACUGAAGUAAUGAUUGAUAGGGACAGUUGGGGCGGUCUGUAUUCCAAAGCGAGAGGUGAAAUUCUUAGACCUUCGGAAGACAAACAGCUGCGAAAGCGUUCCGCAAGGAUGUUCCCUUUGAUCAAGAACGAAAGUUGGGGGAUCGAAGACGAUCAGAUACCGUCGUAGUCUCAACUAUAAACUAUACCAGCUAGGGAUCGGUCAACGUUUAAUUAUUCGACUUGAUCGGCACCUUAUGAGAAAUCAAAGCAUCUGGGUUCCGGGGGGAGUAUGGUCGCAAGGCUGAAACUUAAAGGAAUUGACGGAAGGGCACCACCAGCCGUGGAGCCUGUGGCUUAAUUUGACUCAACACGGGAAAACUUACCAGGUCCAGACAUAGUAAGGAUUGACAGAUUGAUAGCUCUUUCUUGAUUCUGUGGGUGGUGGUGCAUGGCCGUUCUUAGUUGGUGGAGUGAUUUGUCUGGUUAAUUCCGUUAACGAACGAGACCCCAGCCUGCUAAAUAGCGCGGCUGAGCUUUGCUCGGUGCGAGCUUCUUAGAGGGACUAUGAUGCGCGAUAGCACAUGGAAGUUUGGGGCAAUACCAGGUCUGUGAUGCCCUUAGAUGUUCUGGUCCGCACACGGGCUACACUGGCGCCUGCAACGAGCAUAUCAGCUGGCCCGAGAGGGUCUUGGCUAAUCUUUUGAACCGGCGCCGUGCUUGGGAUUGACCUUUGCAAUUGUUGGUCAUGCAACGAGGAAUGCCUUGUAAACGCGAGUCAUCAGCUCGCAUUGAAUACGUCCCUGCCCUUUGUACACACCGCCCGUCGCUCCUACCGAUGAAUGUUCCGAUGAAAUUUUCGGAGAGCGCCAGAGAACGGGGCUCUGCCUUGCAGAUCUGGAGGCUCAAAGUCACUUAAAUCUGAACAUUUCGAGGAAGGAGAAGUCGUAACAAGGUAACC